UUUUUGUAUUACAAAGAUUUUGAAAAUCUUUAUAGGCUAGUAUAAGCCACACAGUG
rnacentral:tRNA from 1 species